AGUGAACGCUGGCGGUAGGCCUAACACAUGCAAGUCGAACGGCAGCACAGGAGAGCUUGCUCUCUGGGUGGCGAGUGGUGGACGGGUGAGGAAUACAUCGGAAUCUACUUUUUCGUGGGGGAUAACGUAGGGAAACUCACGCUAAUACCGCAUACGACCUACGGGUGAAAGCAGGGGACCUUCGGGCCUUGAGCGAUUGAAUGAGCCGAUGUCGGAUGAGCUAGUUGGCGGGGUAAAGGCCCACCAAGGCGACGAUCCGUAGCUGGUCUGGGAGGAUGAUCAGCCACACUGGAACUGAGACACGGUCCAGACUCCUACGGGAGGCAGCAGUGGGGAAUAUUGGACAAUGGGCUCAAGCCUGAUCCGGCCAUACCGCGUGGGUGAAGAAGGCCUUCGGGUUGUAAAGCCCUUUUGUUGGGAAAGAAAUCCAGCUGGCUAAUACCCGGUUGGGAUGACGGUACCCAAAGAAUAAGCACCGGCUAACUUCGUGCCAGCAGCCGCGGUAA
rnacentral:rRNA from 1 species